rnacentral:lncRNA from 1 species
AGAAAAAUAUCCAGCCCUAGAGUAUCAUACAAAUAGUUUUGUCACUCUAAAAAUCCCCUGUAGUGGUGACAUUUUAAAGCAACUUAAAAAAAAAAAGGAACAGUCCCAACUUUCAGAGCUGCAUAAAAAGCCCAGGAGUUGGAUGCCUGAUGAAUACACAAGUGAGGACCGACUUAUUCCCAUCAGUGCUCGGCAAGGACCUGAAACAUGGCUGCGGUAGAGGCACUGCACCCAGAGGAUAGAACACGGCUCAGGAAGGGAGCAGAGGACAACAUGGGGACGUCUAUAGAACAUAUGAGUGCAUAUAUGUACAUAUGUACACGAAGGGACGGCCUGUGGGGAGGUGUGUGCUGGCCCAUUGGGUCGGGCUAGACUUUCCUUUCUCUGCUGGACUCAGGAGGCAGCGGUUGUGGGUGCCGGGGCUUGUUGAUUCUGUGGGUGCAUUGCCACAUCCGUGACCGUGCAGCGGUGCCAGCACUGAGGCUGGCGGGCACCUACGCAGGAACCAGACUGAAGGCAGAGCCCCUCUCCUGCGCGUGCUCUCACCGACGCGUCUGGCACUGGGCUGUCCUCCCUUCCUGUGCAGGGACACUGCAAACACAGGCCUCCAGCCGCCUUUGCCCGGGGAUCCAGAGAUCAUAAAUUGCUCUCUUGCUUUCUGGGGGUCCAAGUUAGUGAUUUUGCCGACUUCCUGGAUGUUCAUUUCUGGUUCUGCACAAAAGAGUCACAUUUCCUUUUGGAAUCAGGACCAGGAGACAGAAGCGGACUCGGGAACUGUGAGUGCCCCCCGGUCUUCCCCGGCGCCUCUGACCCCUUCCUCCAUCUCGCCGCCUUCCCUGCCUUCAGCGCGGAGUUCCCUUUCUCCAGGGCUUCUUGUCUGAACUCACCCCCUCGGCUCUCAGCACCAUUCUCCACUUUUAGGAAAAGAAACUCUACAAUUUCUAUGCAAACAUCGGAUAAGAAGGGGAGGGGGAGUGACUUUGAUUUUCAUUUUAAGACUCUGAAAGACGGAGAAAGUAAGCAGAAGCGGGCUGGUGUAUUUCAGAGGCUCCCAGUGAGUCCCUACUAAAUUUACCUAAUAAAAUGAAUUUUUAAAA